rnacentral:lncRNA from 1 species
CCCUGAUUCUUCCCUCCCCGACCACACCUUCAUCUUCCCAGGAAACACCAGUUCCCAGGACCUCCGUUUACAGAUGGGAAGACCGAGGCUCAGAGAAUAUAAGCUGCUGGCGGACACACCACUGGGAAGUGGUGAAACCUCACCCAGGCUCUCCCCCUGCCAUGCAGGCUGUCACUGAAAUCAUGCUGGGCCCUCACCAUCCAAGCCGGUGGGUACCCCCGACAGAGCCACACUCUUGAAGGUGUUUCUCUACCCAAUCUAAAGCAGGAUGUCAUUUUUCACCUCCACAUUCCCGUCAUCGUGCAGCAGGUUGCACAUCUCCUCAUUUCUGAGGAAGCCAUUUGGGGCUGUGUUCUGUGAACGGCCUGUUGCUAUUUGCUCGUGUUCCCCUGGGGUUGUUGAUUUUCCGCUGACUGUAGGAGUGCUUUAGCAUUUAAGGAAACUCACCCUUUGCCAUAUGUGUUGCAAAUAUUUUUUCUAGUUUUUUUUUUUAUAGUGGGAUUUUAAUAUCACAUGCAGUUGAAUUUUCAAUAUUUAUUUUCUGGCUUGACAUUUAAAGUCAACCUAGCCAGCCUCCUUCCGUGGUGUUCCUCUGGGCUUUUGGGGUGCGAGGUUUUCCCUGAUCUUGCCCUUGGCUGUGUAGAUGGAUGCUGUCCAUUUUCAGCUCUGCAGUGCUUGGAAAGCCAGCCUUCCUGUUAAUGCUACCUUCAGCUUCCUCAAAAACAGGACGAAACCUACAGGUGAGCCUCUCCUCCUGGAUUCCAGGUAAGGAUGCCUAGAAACAGAGCAGGUGGCCCAUGUAGGUAGGUCCAGGGCAGUCCUUGGGGCACUGCAGCAGUGAGGCUUCAGGACAUUAGAUUUAGGGAUGGUGAGUAGAAGGAAUCUGGAGUGGUCUGCAGGCAGGAGAGUUCUGACUAUGCCCAGAGGACAGCGGAAGGCAUUCCAGAGGGAGCAACAGAAAGAACAAAGGCGUGCAAUAGGGCUGCUUACCUGUAGGACAGGUCAUAGGUAUGCCUUGGCCAGGACAGGUUUCUAUGAGGCGGGGCACACGGGUGGAGCACUGAUGGUACAGCCUCAGGAGCAGCGAGGCGCCCUCCCACAGCGUGGGGCAUGCCCUGGGGGUCCCGGGGGUCCCUGGGGUCGCGGCAAUCGCGAAGGGGAGGAGCUGGAGCUUGGCAGGUCUGGCGAUGCCCUAAUUAAGCCGCGGGUACAUUUCCCAGCCCAACUGUCAACCGUGCGCGGUGCGAGCCAAGAAUGAAUAUUCCCAAAGCGCCAACAGAAGGAAGUGCUUCAUAAAAACGGAGCCCGAGGGCGUGAAGGGAAAACAAGCCCUGUUCACACGCAGGCAGCAGCAUCCGCUCGGCACGGCCCCCGGGACGCGGAAACGCGCACUGCGACACCGCUGCAGGCGCUGGGAGCCCCCCGCGCAGAUGUGGAGCGCUGGGGAGCUGGAGGCUCUUUUCCUGCCCAGCUCGUGCCCCCUCGGUGGCCGCCAGGGCUCCCCAGGGUCUUUCGGGGACCCAGGACGCAGGCCACUCCCUCCGACGCCCCACGGGGCAAACGCCCCAGAGCAGGCGGCCUGCCUGAGGCUUUUCCCCUUGCUAGGGGGAGGAGGCCCUUGCGGCUCUGGGAGUCCCGGCCUGGGCCUUCCUAAUCCUGUGUCUCUGUGUGGUGUGACCUUGGGCAAAUCAUUCUCCAUCCCCCUCGGAGAUUCUCUGCUUCCCUUUCUGAAAAAUUGAGUUACACUCUUGGGUGGUUAGAAGGAUGGAAGGAGUCACAUGAAUAUCAAUGGCUAUAGUAUCUCUCAAUGAAUGAUGGAGAUUCCAGGGACGGGGAAGCAAAAAAGAUGUUUUAAAAGGAAUUUCUUUUCCUGCUCUGGGGAGUUCCUUCCUUUUCCGCUCUGCUUCUGUUUCUUCUUCCAGGUGCUGCCACAGUGGCUGACGGAAGACUCUCGAAAGAGCUGAUCACAGGCCACCCUCGGUCCAAAUUCCUCCGGGGUGCCUUUACCCUCAAAGCGGUCAGGUUUCUGAGAUGACAAAGCCCCUUUGACAGGCCUGUCAACUUCCCAGGCACCUACCAGGGCCCCAGCCAGGUCCAGAUCCAGAGCUUCCAGGACCCACCAUGUUGCUGGGCCCAUUCCCGGCCCUUCUCUGUGUCUCUGCAGAGGCUUAAUGGAGGGAGGCUCUCUUGAUUGGCAGCUUGUGGGGCAGGUGCCAAGCCUCAUUCAUUACACUUCUCAGCAUCUAACACAGUGCCUGGUGCACAGAAGAUGAAUUCAACUGGCAACGCAAAUGGUGUUCGUGAGCAGCACCCACAAGAACCACUCUCCACAAAGAUCCAACAUCUAGAAAGCCUGAGGCUCCACCCCUGGUCCGAAAAGGUCACUGAGCUUCCCCUUGCUUCUCUUGGGAUGCUUGCUCUGGGGAAGCCAGCUGCCUCCUAAGUCCAAGUGCUCCGGGACUGUCAUUGUGGAGACCAGGAGCAGGUGCCGGCUGUGCCUGCAUGGCAGUGAAGCCACACUGGACCCUCUAGACCAGCCCACCCACAGUUGAUGCCAUGGAGAGUGGAAUGAUUUUCCAGUGGAGCCCUGCCUGAAUCUCCCAAGAGAGGGGGAGCCCACAGGGUCAGCUGAGUUGAAAUCUGAAGAUUGGGCAGAGAGCACCAAGCCUGCACCCAGUGAGACAGCAGCCCCAGCAUGUGGCUGUUUAAAUUAAAAUUAACUGAUAUUGAGUGAAAUGAAAAGUUCAGUUCCUCCAUCACACAGGCCAUGUUUCAAAUGCUCGGUAGCCACAUGGGCACAGAAUUGCAGCAAGUUCUAUUGGAGGCACUGCUCCAAGGCCCCGGGGUCCUACUGACCAGGUGGAAGGCCACCCGCCAGCUGGGAACAUCCACAUGGAGCUUUGUGUGCCAGAGAAGUCAACUUCUUGAAUGAAGUUAAGACGUGGGCUGGGGGAGGUGUUUGCCACUGUAACUAACAGGUAUCCUGUUAGUUAUCCUGGCCUGGAGGAGCGUUCCAUCUGGUACAGAACAGAGAUAAGUAAACAGUCCAUCGUGGGCCGGGGGAGACACAGGAGCCUGAAGAUCCCUGGGCCCAGAUGCAAGGCGAGGUAAUCAGAGAUGGCCCCAUGGAGGAGGCAGCACCUAUCCCCAGCACCAGGUCCAGCCAAGGGAGAAUGGUGAGAGGCAUUUCGCCUCCAUUUCUCUCCCGCAGUUCCUAGCUCUCCUUCUUUCAGGCACCAAAAGCCUCCUGCUGUCUUCUUUCCCACUGGCG